UCUGGUGUGUGUUAUGACAUGUUACUUAAUGCCGGGAUCAGACUACAGGAUAUUUUUGUCUUUGACGAUGGUCACCAUGUCAGAUCUAACGAUCACAGCGCCAUAAACUCUUGCAGUGUCUUGGUCGGGUGACUGGCAAGACUACACGUAUGACCACGACCAAUCACGGCACAUCGUAUUCCACGAUCACGCGCGAGUUCAGACGUCAUCGGGGAGGCGGUUGAAGCAACUGUCGAUCAUGGCAACAGAAGCGUUGUGUGUGAUGCUGGCGGUCUUGUGUUGCGAAAAAUAUAGGCAGGGGUACAGUUGCCACAACUCAAGGAAUUUUUCGUCACUUUUGUUGUCCCACCUGACCAGCAAACCUGGCAUCCCUCCUCCAAGGAACACGUCGUUGGAGAUGUCACACUAGACGUGUCAAGACGAAAAAUUCUGACAGGCUAGACUUUUCCUCGGGGUGUGGUGGGGCGUCCCAGACGUGGCGUCGGUUGUCGUG